CUUGUCUUUUUCCCUUGCUUUUUUGUUGUUGUUGUUGUUUGUUUGUUUCUGAUGGGAAAUAAAUUCCAUUAUACCCAUACUUGGUUGCAUCAAUUAGGAGUUGAUAAGGCAUCUUUAUUCNUCUUAGGUCUGCCAGGGAAAUUGUCAGGACUGCAGGCACAAACUAACCCUAAGGACCUUUCUGCACUGGACCUUAUUCCGGAAUAUAUCCCGAAACAGGGGCCUGCCAUCCACAUCCUNGUGCAAACUACGGCAGUCCCCNGGUAGGACACGCUUCCUAGAGGUAAGCAAAAGAGAGCCAAGAAAUAGACACUUCGGGUUCCCCUUCGACCCACAGGUGUUGCUCCUCCAGCUCUUUCCCCGAAUUGGGAAGGGGAAAAGCGGUUUAAGAGGGAGUUUGCAGAACUGGACCUCAUUUCCCAUGGGGAAGAAGGAAGAUAUUUCUUUUUCCAGGACAUGAAGGAAGAGAAGAUUUUAUUAGGUGAUGAUGAACCAUGGAAUACUAUGAGGCNAUUGGUAGUGUCAUCAAAAACACAAUGGUGCAGAUUGGGAAAAAAGGCAUUUGCAAAUCAAAUUGAAGAGAAGAGACAGGANAGAAAUUUACCAAGUGAUGGGUGGAAUAAAUUUGCCACAUCUCAAGGUGCUGAUAUCUGUGGAUUCCUCNCCCUACCUGAUUAUCCUAUAAUCCACAUCCAGGAAAAACCUCAUAAAUGCAUGGAUUGUGGGAAGAGCUUUAAUUGAACAUCACACCUUAGUUCACAUCAAAGAAUCCACACAGGUGAGAAGCUANACAAGUGCACUGAGUGUCGAAAUAGCUUCCGCGAAAGCGGAGCACUUAAGAAACAUCAAAGAAGCCACACUGGAAAGAAACCAUAUCAGUGUGCNGACUGCAGAAACAGUUACAACUCGCAUGCACAACUUAUCUCACAUCAAAUUACACAAAUAGGAGAGAAACCUUUUAAAUGUAUGGAUUGCAGAAAAGGGUUCACUCAGUGAUCAGCCCUUUCUGCCCAUCAGAGAACCCAUACAGGUGACAAACCAUAUAAAUGUAUGNAAUAUGGGAAAAACUUCACACAGCAGNCACAGCUGAGUUCAUACUGGAGGACACAUACAGGGGAGAAAUCCUAUAAAUAUAUGGAGUGUGGGAAGAGCUUCAGUUGGCUUGCGCAGCGUAGAUUACAUCAGAGAACCCACAUGGGAGGAACUUUAUAAAUGUAUAGAGUGCGAGAAAACUUUCCGCCAGAGUUCACAUCUUAGUUCACAUAAAAGAAUCCACAUGGGAGUAAAGCCAUAUGUGUGGAGCGUGGGAAGAGCUUCACUGAAAGUGGAAAAUUGAAGAAGCAUNGAAGAAUUCACACAGGGGAGAAACCCUACCNAUACANGGAGUGUGGAAAGUGUUUUACUUGGAGCGAAAGCCUUAGGCUACAUCAAAGAAACCANAUAGGACAAAAAUGCAUGGUAUGUGGGAAAAACUUCAGUUGUAGCAUCUGCUUUCAUUGCUUUGAAAACAUCCGAGGGGAUACCAAACAGGCAGUGGAACACUGUUUGAACACCCAGGAACCCAAAUUAUAUAAAUUCAGUGCUUUAUGAACAGCUCCAGUACAGAGAGGAUUCCUUCUUAAGAAAUCAUGUAGAGAAGAAAGGCUAAAGUUACAUAUGUAAAAUGUCAAAUUACAGGCUACUUAUUUGCUAUAGAGCUCAAUUCUAGAUGCCAAUAUAUAACUCUAAAUGACUUAAGUCA
ensembl:lncRNA